AAAAAUGUUUAUCCUCUACCUUUUCAUCUUUUUUAUUUUUGAAAAUAGUGUAUGUGGAUAUCUUUUCCUUCUUAUCAAAAUCGUUAAUGCCUAGAAGAAAAGGAAAAAAAAAACCAGUUCAACCAAUCCGCUCGGGUUUUGACCUGCGACCCGCGGUCCGCUCUAGCGGAGAAGUCGUCCGCGAUUUGAAUGGCGCAACGGCACCCUUCUUCUCGCGCGGUGGUUGGUCGUCCCGACCGGACCGCCCGGGAUAGCGGCCAUCGCAGUCGGGAUUGAUAAUUAUGUCUGGUACUAGAGAAGUAUCGUUGGGAGCCAACUCAUGUACAUUAAACUUAUGCUGAGGGAAAUAUGACAUGCUUCAUCUUCUCCUUUUUUUUUUACUUUUUAAUUCCUUUUUUAUUAGUAAAAAAUGUUUAUCCUCUAACUUUUCAUCUUCUUUAUUUUUGAAAAUAGUGUAUAAGGAUAUCUUCUCCUUCUUAUCAAAAUCGUUAAUGCCAAGGAGAAAAAGUCAACAAAAAAAAACCAGUUCAACCACUCCGCCCGGGUUUUGACCUGCGACCCGCGGUCCGCUCUAGCGGAGAAUUCGCCCGCGAUUUGAUUGACGCAACUGCACCCUUCUUCUCGCGCGGUGGUUGGCCACCCCGGCCGGACCGUCCGAGAUAGAAGCGAUCGCAGUCGGGAUUGAUAACUAUGCCUGGUACUAAAGAAGUAUCGUUGGGAGUCAACUCAUGUACAUUAGGCUUAUGCUGAGGAAAAUAUGACAUGCUUCUAUAGGGUGUCACACCAUAUCAUGACACCAGACGCUCCUGAAAGACCACCCAGGCCAGCUAACCAAGAGAUAGUUGAGGUUUAGGAUGAACAUUCCGAGAGCGUGACAACGGUCUAUCGGCGUGUUGCGAAGAUGGGUAGAGGAUCCAUAUAGGCAUUACUCUUUAAAGAUGUCAGUCCCUAGUUGGUCCUCAUGGAACACAUGGUUGUCGAGUUACGAAAUGUCAUGCAGUACAUACGGAGGAUGAGACUGGUGAUUAUACAUACCUAAUAAUUAGUUUAUGUUUGGAUGUAUUUCUUUUUUGUAUUUUCAGACAAAUAUUAUGUAUGAUCUUGACUUUUUGGAUUAACGUAUGACUUUUUUGCUUUCAUUUAACUUUAAUGUAACUUCAUUUUACUUUAAUAUAAGUUGGCUUAAAAAAAUUAUGAAA
rnacentral:lncRNA from 1 species